rfam:Glarea lozoyensis 74030 mitochondrion, complete genome.
GGGUCAGUAUCCUAAUGGUAAGGAUCUUUUUUGUCAAGAAAGCAUAUGUCGGUUCGAGUCCGGUCUGGCCCG